ensembl:lncRNA
GGUGAAAGGUAAUGGCAGAGUUAGACAGACACUACAAGAUCGCGAGCACAUGUAAUGUGUAUAACUGAGGUGGUGGAGGUAAAGGAGAAGAGGUGGAAAUGGAAGGGGAGGGUAGUCUGUGCCACACAAGUUGCCCCUGGGGCCUGAGCGGUCAUGUUGGCUUGGCAGAAGGAGAGAGGAAGCACAGAGGGGGGAGUGGGGCAUGUGGGUGUGUGGAGGGAGGGCAGCUCCGGGUGCCACGUUUGCAUCACAGGACUGUAUUUCCUUUCACCUCAGAGCAGAGCCGGCACAGUGGCUGCUUCACUUUUCUUCUUUUUUUUUUUGACUUACUUCGACCAGUCGUUGCUCAGCUGACACCCACAGAGGGACAUUUUAACAUCAGAAAAUAGCUUUACCAUUUUUAGACUAUGACCGACAAAAGUGGGCUUUUCUUUUUUACCCAGUGACCGUGAAGUUUGCCAUUUAAAAUGACUUGUUCUAAAAGUUUGCACGUGGGGUUUGGACAACCAGGUGAAUGAUGGGAAACUGAGGUGCGUGAAUGUGAUUGUUCUGAAACAUGUACAAAUGUGCAGAUGCUAUCAGGCUAAUCUUUGUUUGGCGGCUGAUAGAAAUAGUGAGUUGUGGGGGUCAGAAUUUGCUUCUAAAUUGGGGCAAGCCAGAAGGCGUUUGAGAACCACGUUGUUCACAGGAGCUGAAAACAUAUUUGUUGCUUUCAGCUGUGCGUAGGAGUCUUCCCUUCCUUUGGGGAGCAGGAUCCAAAGCAAGAGACUUGCACAUGGCACAAAAGUGGGAAGUUUGAUAGUUAUUCAUAACUAUUAAUUAUUAGUAUUAGUUUAGUAAUAGCUGACGGUUUUUAUGUUACAGUUGUAGAUUCUUUGUAGAGCUGAGGACUGACCCAUUGUGAGUUAUGAUAACAAACACAGCUUAAUGCGACAAAAGUACAUGUAUUUGUGGUUGGUGGAAAGCGAGUGGACCCACACAAACACAUCUGACAGGAUGUUCCUAACUGUCAUUUCUGUUGCUACAAAGAUGGGAUAUUGUAC